rnacentral:rRNA from 1 species
UACAGAGGGUGCAAGCGUUGUUCGGAAUCAUUGGGCGUAAAGGGCGUGUAGGCGGUUUGCUAAGUCAUGUGUGAAAUCCCUCGGCUCAACCGGGGAACGACGCAUGAAACUGGCAAGCUAGAGUACCAAAGAGGGUGGUGGAAUUCCCGGUGUAGCGGUGAAAUGCGCAGAUAUCGGGAGGAACACCGGUGGCGAAGGCGGUUCUCUGGGCCUUACCUGACGCUGAGGAGCGAAAGCGUGGGGAGCGAACAGG